rnacentral:rRNA from 1 species
GUGUACCAGUUGUCGUGCCAACGGCAUAGCUGGGUAGCUAUGUAUGGACGGGAUAAGUGCUGAAAGCAUCUAAGCAUGAAGCCCCCCUCGAGAUGAGAUUUCCCAACUUUGGUUAUAAGAUCCCUCAAAGAUGAUGAGGUGAAUAGGUUCGAGGUGGAAGCGUAGCGAUACGUGGAGCUGACGAAUACUAAUCGAUCGAAGACUUAAUCAA